ensembl:Y_RNA Y_RNA Y RNA
GGCUGGGCUGAGCGCAGCGGUGUUUACACAUAAUCCAUCACAACCAGUUGCAGAUUUGUUACUUCUCCACUUCCACUGCUUCACUUGAUCAGCCUUAA